rnacentral:rRNA from 1 species
AACGAACGCUGGCGGCAUGCCUAACACAUGCAAGUCGAACGAAGUCUUCGGACUUAGUGGCGCACGGGUGCGUAACGCGUGGGAAUCUGCCCUUGGGUACGGAAUAACUCAGAGAAAUUUGUGCUAAUACCGUAUAAUGUCUUCGGACCAAAGAUUUAUCGCCCAAGGAUGAGCCCGCGUAAGAUUGGCUGGUUGGUGGGGUAGAAGCCUACCAAGGCGACGAUCUUUAGCUGGUCUGAGAGGCUGAUCAGCCACACUGGGCCGGCGACACGGCCCAGACGCCUACGGGAGGCAGCAGUGGGGAAUAUUGGGCAAUGGGCGAAAGCCUGAUCCAGCAAUGCCGCGUGAGUGAUGAAGGCCCUAGGGUUGUAAAGCUCUUUUACCAGGGAUGAUAAUGACAGUACCUGGAGAAUAAGCUCCGGCUAACUCCGUG